rnacentral:tRNA from 1 species
GGCCAGUCCCUCGAGAUUGGCGGGGCGCAGCAUCUUGGGCGGCGUCCUGAUCAUCGAACUCAUGUUCGCUCCCUGAACUGGUCGUGU